UUCUCUGCACGAAUACCGAGAGAAAACGAACGGGUGUUCUUCAUGUUCUUCAUAAUCAAACGAGGAUUUGAAGGCGUUAUUGGAAUCCGAUGGAGGCGUAUAAAUAGUCAAAACGAAGCUCUCGACGCGUAGAAUCUAGUACAAUCAUCCGUUUAUGUGCAGAUUUGUCAGGAUUUGGACGAGGCGUAUACGAUUGAAGACGUACAGAAGGUCAAACGAUGUUGCAAAGCGAAUAAGGAACGAGUCGAGAAAGCGAAGUCGUAUUACGAAUAGAGUAUAUACAGAGAUGGUCUGGAGGUUAUGAUAUGCAUAGAUUGUGAGUUGGAAAGAUGAGAUUAAGCUAUGUGUGUGGAAGCGGAUUUAAGGCAAGUUUUCCUAAGUCCUUCCUCAUAUAUAUAUUGCAUGCUCUGAUUAUUCUGUCAAGAUUAUGAUAUUGUUUAUACUGAAACCCUUCUCAAAUACACCCUUACUUCUGAGAAUGAAACCCAUGCUUGUUUUCUUCUUCCAAAUUUUGAAAAGCCAAACACCUAAUUACUCUCAAUUUCUAUUACAAGUAUUUUGAUCCAUUCCUUCCAACCCUCAAGAUCUUAAAAAUGUCAGCUUUACAAAUUAAUUCGAAGUUCAAAUUGUCAUUGAAGCAUGUGUUGCUCAGUGAUAGUUAGAACUUAGAAUGAAUUGAGAUCUUCUUGAUUAUUCAACCCACCAUUGUCAGGCUAAUUAACUUAGCCGAUGAUGGAGGAUACUGAAUAGUUAAGGACUUCUUGAAUUUUGAUUUAUAAAAGGAUGAUUCUUAAAAGUUGGUUUGGAAUAUUUCUGUUGUUGAUAAUGAUUAUGAUUUUGUUCUAUUGAUUGAUCUGUCUAUUGAUUUAAAUUGUUAGUAUUGGAUUAGUUUUUAUAAAAUAUGUGGACCAGAUUCGUGGUCAGACCAGAUUCGUGGUCAAUUAUAGGCCAAUGUGUGCCUUGGAUCCAGUAUAGAGAACAGGGCUGUGUGCCAUGUUCGGGGUUAGUGCGUGACUGAUCAGCAGCCUAACCUUUGGUUUUUAAGUAAAAAUGUGAUGAAUCCAAUUCGACAAUUCUUCUGUAAGUUUGAAUUCUGAUUUCAAUUGCUGAUAAGAAUUGUGAAGUUUUCAAUUA